CGCAUCUGUGCAUGCAGCAUAUCAAUAAGCGGAGGAAAAGAAACUAACAAGGAUUCCCCUAGUAACGGCGAGUGAAGCGGGAAGAGCUCAAAUUUGAAAUCUUAAAGGGUUUCCCUUUACGAAUUGUAGUUUAAAGAAGUGUUUUCUGUUGAGGUUUUGGUAAAAGUUCUUUGGAAUAGGACAUCAUAGAGGGUGAGAAUCCCGUAUUUGACCUUUACUUUCAACUUUGUGAUACACUUUCAAAGAGUCGGAUUGUUUGGGAAUGCAGUCCGAAAAUGGGUGGUAAAUUUCAUCUAAAGCUAAAUAUUGGCGAGAGACCGAUAGCGAACAAGUACCGUGAGGGAAAGAUGAAAAGAACUUUGAAAAGAGAGUUAAACAGUACGUGAAAUUGUCAAAAGGGAAGCGUUUGACACCAGUGUUGUUUUUCUGAAAAUCAAUUAAAGAACUGUUUAUGCUAAGUUGUUUAGACUUUAUCAGCUAUCUGUUUAGUUUUGAGCUUUUCUUUAAUGCACUUUUCAGUUAACAAGUCAACAUCAAUUUCUUUUGCUGUAAAAAAGCUCGAGGAAGGUGGCUUGAGAUUCGUCUUAAGUGUUUAUAGCCUCUUGCCUAUGCAGUCGGAGAGAUUGAGGUCUGCAGCGUAGAUCCUUCGGGGCUAAAUGCAUUUGUGCUAAGUUAUAGCAUUUUAUAGACAACUUGUUGACUAUGAUUUGUCUUGUAGCUUACUCGCUUAUGUUAUUUUACCUACGCUUAGGAUGUUGACAGCAGUAUAGACUGU
rnacentral:rRNA from 1 species